UACGUAGGGGGCAAGCCUUGUCCGGAUUUAUUGGGCGUAAAGAGCGUGUAGGCGGCCACACAGGUCUGCUGUGAAAACUCGAGGCUCAACCUCGAGCUGUCGGUGGAAACCGUGUGGCUAGAGUCCGGAAGAGGAGAGUGGAAUUCCCGGUGUAGCGGUGAAAUGCGCAGAUAUCAGGAGGAACACCGGUGGCGAAGGCGGGUCUCUGGGCCGAUAUUGACGCUGAGGAGCGAAAGCGUGGGGAGCGAACAGG
rnacentral:rRNA from 1 species